GGAUGGAUGUCUGAGCGGUUGAAAGAGUCGGUCUUGAAAAACGAAGUAUUGAUAGGAAUAGCGGGGGUUCGAAUCCCUCUCCAUCCG
rnacentral:tRNA from 1 species